CUGAAGAAGUUCAGUCCACAGGCCAGAGCUGGCCCUCCAGAAGACUUUUGCAUCCUGCAAAGGAAGCGACACAAGGUGCUGAAAAGAAACACUAAACCAUUCCAGAUCGGUCACAGUAUCAUGCAGAGUUGAACACUUCUUGUGUGUGUAUCUUUCCUAGCUCUAGACCACAAAGAAAAGAAAAAAAAUUACUCUAGAUAAACUGUUUUAAAUGAGAUUGAAAUUCUGAAGCCAUUUAAAGACUGAAGAAAAUCUUACUCAUUGAUAGUGCUAUGGAGACUUAAGUACCAACUGUGAAUAUGGAGUGGAUUUCAUCAAAAGAAAACUUGAACGUUGCUUAAAACCCUUCUGAGUCCUUCUCUUGACCCAGUCAGCAUCACCUCAAUCAUCCACGGACUUCAGUUCAUCCAUGGACAGUUCUUAACCAAACAAUGAAAAAAAAAUCUUUUUCUGAGACUCAGCUCGUAAAAGUUUCAGGUGUCUAAGAGAAAAUCCACUGUAGACAGAAGCACAGCAUGCAGUUGCAGUGCAUGUGUACCUGUCCAAGGCCAUGUGUACAUCCAGGGAGUGAAGAAGGAUGGGAAGCCGUAGGCUGAAGUUUUCCCAGAGCACUUGGGUACAGGAUUUUCUGCCACCAUCUGCUGUGAUUAGUAGAAUACAGCUCAGUGCUGUGGCGAAACGAAAUGGAAACAGCUAAGACUCUGAAUCUGCGUUCUGUAGCAGUCAGUUUGUCAGACCAUGGAUGCUUCAACGUGUCACUUUUAUUCCAAAUAAAAGCACAGAAAUCCUCUUCAAGCAACUGUCAGUUGACCAGAACUGGAAUGAAGAGACUGUAAAUAGAUCGUAAGAAAUUUCCACAGGGAAAUGCAAGGUGGAAAGACGUUGUUGUAAAGAACAUUUCUGCCCACGAUCUUUGGUUUAAAAACAUACACAAGAAUGAGACUUAAAAAGCAAGCAUUCAGACAGUAUACUUCUGUAUUUUUUAUUAUUUUACACCUUGAAUUGUAAGUAGCUGUGUUAGCAAAGUACACCAGAGGCACAGAGGACUGAUGUGGAGGCAGAUGAAGCUGAGUACCACCCAGCAGGGAACGAGCUGGAUGCUUCUCUCUCCUCCACUUCAGCCACAGCAGUCAGGGAUACAAUAAAGUCAGGUCACUGAAGACCACACAGAGGACAAGGCUUGAGGAAGGGGGUGCCAAGGGCACACAAAUGUCCCUCCCCGGGAGUUAGCAAAUAGUAUGAUUAUGACUGGAUCUGUCAAGGUGCAGAUGAAUCUACAAGCUGAUUUGCAUCACACUCAUGCCUUGUUGUUGUUCCAGAAACAUUCAUAUGCUCUUUCCAAUUUAGCAACUCCAGAUACACUUGAGCUUCAAAUGUAUGAUUAAAUUAUUAAGGUCACGAAAUACUGCAAUUUCAAAGAGACUUGCUUAGAUUAUAUUUGCUGGCAACACAAGGUGGGCUUUAAACUGGUGUCGGCUGCUCAGAAGAUUCACUCCCCAGAAGAAUGUGUCACUUUCUCCCAAUCAGUAUAGAGGCGAAGGAACCCGUCCAUGUUAAGAUCUGAUGCCAUGAAAUCCUAAGGCUGGACUGAAAAGAUUGACUACAUCACACAGUGAAGAAGAAAGAAAAGAUAUGUGUCAGCAGCCAUUCAAGUGUGUACAAUAGCACUGCUAUACAUAUUAGUAACUAACCAUUUUUUAAGUUUUGCAAAAAAAUCCAAAACUAAGUGAAAACACUCAGACAAAAUAUGCUGAAUCAAACAGCUAGGGGAGCUUCCCCUCAAAAGACACAUUUUCCAAAGGAUGAUUAAGAAGUCUUGAUAAAAUGUCAUUUUCCAAAAUGAAAAUAUUAUUUCAGAAAAUGUCGACUGGCUGUUUCACCUAAAUGCCAAAAGUCAACAACUAAUGUCUUUCACAGAAAUUCAGUAACAAUCCUCUCUUUACUGGAGAAGAAACAGAAGUUUUGAUUCUGUUCCAGUGAAAAAGCCACCACCUUCUGCAUCAUACUGCUGGCCACGUUUGACAGCAGGAUGCUGUACAAAUCUAACUUCUCCCAAAUCACGCUUGACACUACAGACCACAGGAGAAUGCAGUCAUUCUUUCUAACGUCACAGGGCCAUUGUGGUCAAUCAGCAAACCGUCCUCAGGAGAGUUUCAAUACCUGAGCAGAAAACGGUGUGUCAAGUACGUAGUUCCAGGCUUAAUUUCACAUUUCCUGACUCUGGUGAACUGUAGCCAACCAUACCUUUAACCUAAUUUCAGCACAUUUUGUGCCCGGGAAUAUACCUGUAUUGGUAUCUGCUUGGCAGUUGAACCUGGAAUAGUAGAAUAAAAGUGCCUUAAAGGAUUGUGAGUGGUGAAUACAUGGAAUACACAUCUGGCUGGAAUACACAGACAGAUUUUGCUUCUCCGUUGACCUCACUAUGCAUUAUGAACAUUGCAUAGCUGAAUCAUUUUGGUUCUGAAGCUGUGCUUAUUUCUGGUUCAUCAGGGUCUGAUCCUAGAAACCCUGAGAUUGGAGGUGCUUAAAAGCUUCCUGCGGAGCCCAGCGUCCUUGCAAAAGACAAACCUCGGUGAACUUCACAUUUUCUUGUUACC